AUUGAACGCUGGCGGCAUGCUUUACACAUGCAAGUCGAACGGUAACAGGGUGCUUGCACCGCUGACGAGUGGCGAACGGGUAAGUAAUGCAUCGGAAUGUACCGUGUAAUGGGGGAUAGCUCGGCGAAAGCCGGAUUAAUACCGCAUACGCCCUGAGGGGGAACGUGGGGGACCGAAAGGCCCCACGUUAUACGAGCAGCCGAUGUCUGAUUAGCUAGUUGGUGAGGUAAAGGCUCACCAAGGCGUCGAUCAGUAGCGGGUCUGAGAGGAUGAGCCGCCACACUGGGACUGAGACACGGCCCAGACUCCUACGGGAGGCAGCAGUGGGGAAUUUUGGACAAUGGGCGCAAGCCUGAUCCAGCCAUGCCGCGUGUCUGAAGAAGGCAUUCGGGUUGUAAAGUACUUUUGUCCGGGAGCAAAUACUAGUGGUUAAUAACCGCUGGGUCUGAGGGUACCGGAAGAAUAAGCACCGGCUAACUACGUG
rnacentral:rRNA from 1 species